GAACUACUCUAGUAAAGGAACUGAAAAAUCGCACAGUUCCUUUUAUUAAAUGAAAUAUUAUUAUUAAAUGAAGUAAUUAUUGCAUUUUGCAUUUCCAGGUGCUGGGAAUACAAAGAAAAAAAUUAGAUACCAGUCUUUAUCCUCAUGGCUCUUGCUAUCUUGUGACAGAAACAGAAUUAGACAAAUAAUUUUGCAAAUAUUUAAUUAAUCACACAUGCUACAAAUACUACAAAGGAGAAACACUGAUUCCAGAAGAGCGUGAAACAGAGGUCCUGACCUAUUUUGGGCUUUCAACACAGGCUUUCCUGAGACGGAAUCUGAGAAGAUUCCUCAUAUGGCAUAUGAAGAGGCUGACCAUAGAAGAAGCAACUCAGGCAGUGGAUACAGCAGACAAGUGUGAAUUCUUCCCUGGAGUGAACCUCUUGGAUGUGGAACAUGACAGAACCAAUACUGGUGAACAACAGUCCUCCAAGCAAAUGAUAGUGCUACAUACAAAGGAAGUUGGAAUGGAUAUUGGUUAAGCAAAAGCAAUGUUUGUUGAGCAAACUCAGCCUCCUCAUCUGUCUAUGGGUCUAAGUCAUCAUUUCUUUUUCUGGACUACACUAUUCUGAGUAUGCAUUGAGCCUAACUCCUCCAAAUUUAUGAAAAUACUGGCACCUCUAACGUUAUUUUGUUUUUUAUGUGGCUUCUUCUUGGAGGAUUUUCAUUUCAAGUUUGGUCAGACUUGAGUUCUCUGCGUAACAUAAUCAGAUCCAAAACCUUCUCACCAGGGGAACACAUUUACUUUAUUUCUGUUAAAAUUGAGAAGAAUAACAAGAUGUAAUAUCAUAUUUAUCUAUAGUUAACAAAAUUGCUAUCAGAUUUUAAAAAUCUUAAUAUCUCACACACCUUAUCAAGAUUUCCUGGCCGGGCGAGGUGGCUCACGCCUGUAAUCCCAGCACUUUGGGAGGCCGAGACGGGCGAAUCACGAGGUCAGGAGAUUGAGACCAUCCUGGCUAAGACGGUGAAAUCCUGCCUCUACUAAAAAUACAAAAAAUUAGCCGGGCUUGGUGG
rnacentral:lncRNA from 1 species